CGUCAAGUACUCAUCCGUAUUAAGGAUAAGCCUUCCUCCCUACUGAAAGUGCUUACAACCAAGGCCUUCUUCACACACGCGGCAUGGCUGGAUCAGGGUUGCCCCCAUUGUCCAAGAUUCCCCA
rnacentral:rRNA from 1 species